UUCUUCUUCUUCUUCUUCUUCUUGUGAGAGGAGGGUGUGUGGAAAGCAGAAGAAGAGCGAGAGUAAAAAGAUGAACUGUCUUCUGAGCCUGCUGACUGUAGGGCUCACCCUGUGCUUGCAAUGCCAGGUUGCUGAUGCCCAUUUGAGCCAAAGUUUUAUUGAAAAGUAUGUGAACAAAGCCAAGUCCAACGUGGACACAGCCUGCACGUAUUCCAGACAAGUGUGAGCGUACAAAUCUGCUGACAGAACCUAUGGUGGAAAUGGACUGACCAAGGACAGCUACUUCUCUGGUCAUCUGCUGUUUACUGAGUAGGAGGGCUGUAACAGCUCCUAGGUAUUUUAUGUUUUUAAACAGAUGUUAAAUGAAAACUUUAAACUAAAGUCAAUAAAUGCACUUUCAGAAAUUAUCUAUUUUAUUGUGAAAAUUGCUGACAAAACUGUGUUUUUCUGUUUGUAACAGUUGUUUAAAUGAAGGAAAUGUAUAAUGCACUGACACUCUGAUGUGAAAACUGCCCCUGAUAGAGUGAUUUAACUGAUGUUUGACUUGCUAA